UUCGUGGGACUGCAAUCACAAGAGCAUGUUCAAACUCAUCAAGUCAUAGGCAGGGAAGUUCUUGCGGAAGCGGUUUGCUAACGCCCGAAACCAGUUGGCCCGACUGUUGUGGCUAGCCGAGGAGAUCUGGCGCGAGCUCCUGGAGUUCUGGUCGAGCCCAGAAUUUAAGGCACAGUCGGCCAAAAAUAAGGUCAACCGAGCAGCAAACUCGAAAGCAGCUGCCACAGGAGGUCGUCAUCAGUUGAGGUGCACAAGAGAAAGAUGGAGACAGCUCGGACACCCUGUCACUCAGAUGGAAGUGUUCAAGAAGGUUUAUAAAAAGGAGGAUGACUAGUGGAGUGGACCGAGGGGGAAGGAGGUCGCGACAUAUUCUUGAGAAUGAUGGAGGAACGCCAGAGCAACAGAACAACAAUGAAGCGACUCCAUUGUCCUCUCAAGGAUGAGUAACCUCAAACGAGCUGCAGGUCUAGAUGUAAGCAGUGGGUGGCUGGAAGAGGGGCCGAGUACUCGGACUAGGCUCUGAGGCCCACCACUCGGUUGUUGGACCAUCCCAAGCGACCUAGUCGACUGCUCCCUCACCUUCACCACCACAGCUGCAGCGCUUCGACAUAGAAGAUCGGGUGUUGGCACUUUAGCGCUACAUCAGAAGCAUCGGUCCCAACUGGCCCGAUUAUCUAGCGCCAGAGCCUCCAAUUGAUCCCCCAGCACCCAAUGACGAUGACGAA